CCUACGGGGGGCUGCAGUGGGGAAUAUUGGACAAUGGGCGAAAGCCUGAUCCAGCAAUGCCGCGUGAGUGAUGAAGGCCUUAGGGUUGUAAAGCUCUUUUACCCGGGAUGAUAAUGACAGUACCGGGAGAAUAAGCUCCGGCUAACUCCGUGCCAGCAGCCGCGGUAAUACGGAGGGAGCUAGCGUUGUUCGGAAUUACUGGGCGUAAAGCGCACGUAGGCGGCUUUGUAAGUCAGAGGUGAAAGCCUGGAGCUCAACUCCAGAACUGCCUUUGAGACUGCAUCGCUUGAAUCCAGGAGAGGUGAGUGGAAUUCCGAGUGUAGAGGUGAAAUUCGUAGAUAUUCGGAAGAACACCAGUGGCGAAGGCGGCUCACUGGACUGGUAUUGACGCUGAGGUGCGAAAGCGUGGGGAGCAAACAGGAUUAGAUACCCCAGUAGUC
rnacentral:rRNA from 1 species